CCUCCCCUCUCAGCCCGUGGGCCUCCCAGGCCCUAGCCAGCUAUGCCACCACCUUCAGCCUUUUAUUUUCUUUUUUUAUUUUUUUUUAAUUACUGAGGGAAAAUAUAAACAUAAGCAAAAAAAAAAAAAGCCUCCCCUGCAGGCGCGAGCGGGGGUGGCGAGGAGGCCGACGAAGGCGCUGGGAGCUGUUUAUUUAUGGCUGCAAAUGUGUGUGUUCAAGAGAGAGAGGGAAUUGAUCUUUGCCUGGACUUAAAGAUGGAGCCGAAGAAGCUGGAGGGAAUUUGGGCUUGUGCGUCUGGCCCAGACCCUGUGCGCCGAGCCCGAGGUCUAUCCUCCCCGCACCUCUCACCUCGCGACCUUGCAGGAAUCCGCGGGCCCGGAUGCUGCCCAGCUGACCCUCCUGCCCCGGGCCUGGCUGCAGAGAAAGUCUUCGGGCAGGAGGCCAUCCUGUUCCUGUCUUUAAAAUGAGCACAAUAAAAGGGGGCAAAUCCUCGAACGCGAACCUGAUCUCAUGUCACAGAAGCAACUUGCCAUGAAAUCCGCUAAUGCGCUGCGACUCGCCCACCAGGAUAAAUAACCCCAUCGUCCGUGUAAUCAGCACGUUCCCAAUGAAGUCGUUUUCCUAGAAUGCGCUCUCCGCCUGCCACACUUGAGGAAUCCAGCCCACAGAGGUUUCGGAAACCCAGUUUGAGUGAUUCCAGCCUAGACUGAAACCCUGAGAGCCUCCCAGGAAAGAGAGCCCGGCCUGGGCCAAGCAGUCGGACACACACACACACACACACACACACACACACACACACACACACACACACACGGACUGCGUAGCUCUUCGCAGGAUCGAAGGCUGGAUGCGGAUCUGGGAGGCGGUGGCUAAGCGAACCAGGAAGACUGUGACGGAAACCAAUACAGCAGUGUCAUCUUGAAAGUUAUUUGGAAGAACAGGACCUGGAGUCUGGGUUUGAAUCAAAAAAUUGUGAGCAAGGGACAGAUCACCCUGUAUUUCUCUGGAACGAGGCAGAACUGAGACCUGCUCAGCUGAACCAGCGUGGCCACAUAUUGGGGACUAGGAAAUUGUUCUCAGACACUGUAGCACACACAUCCUCUGACAGCGAGCUCACUCCUGCGCAGUGGGCUUCUGGUUCUGCCACUGCACUCCACAAACGCCCUACAGGCCUCCUCCAGGUUUUGCCAGGCAAAUGAAACGAGCACAACUCGAUAGUAAAUUAUUUUGUUCAGCCUUCUCUCUUUUUAUGAAAAUAAGAGGCAACACUUUGUCAUUUUUAAUCACAUAAGCAGACAAUAAAUCUAAUUUUGAUAUUGAUU
rnacentral:lncRNA from 10 species